rnacentral:tRNA from 1 species
GGUGGGGUCGCAUAGUGGCCGAGUGCGCGCGCGUGGAAAGCGCGUAUACCGCAAGGUAUCGAGGGUUCGAAUCCCUCCCCCACCG